AAAAAGGUUGACGAACAAAAAAAACAAACCGGUCAUUAGGGCUCGGAAAAUGCAUUUACAUGUUUUUUUGGGUAUUUAUUGCUAAGCUAGAAACUGGAACAACGAAAAACAUAUUCAAAGUGUUUUAGUGCAUUUUUUGCAUAUUUAGUGAUUUUGUAGUUUUAAGAAUAUUUGAUGAUAUCCAUAAUACUAUUUAAAAAUUCAGUAAUAAAUAAAUAGAUAUAUUCAUUUUGAAUCUUUUUAC